CUUGUUUUGAACACGGCAUCAAAUUUUUUAGGUAAUUAUUGGUCUAUUUUUACAGUAUGUUUAUGAUAAAAACAGAAAGAACCAUAUUUGAAAAAAACAUAUAACCGGGUCAAAUGAGAAUUAAAUACCUUUACUUUUAUUUUAGUCUGUACUCUGUACUGUUCCAUCAUUAAAUAAAUUGUCAAUUUAUUCAAUGAAUUAUAAUUGUUUCGUUUAUACACAUCAACCACCACCUCUAUUUACAACGAAGAAUAAGUACAUCCCUUGGUAUAUAUAUACACAUCAGAAAUUGCAGCACAAGUCAAUUGACCUAUGAACAUGUAUGAAUGUUUAUCAUUUCAUUUCAAAUAAACAAUUGUCCCAGAUGAGCACUUUUGUUUAUCAUUUCAUUUCAAAUAAACAAUUGUCCCAGAUGAGCAUUUUGUUUUCUUUAAGGCAAUGGCUAUGGUUACAGUAGAGUCCCCAGUAUCUGCGUGGCCAAUGAUACCAUGCAUUAGGUGAUUUCGUCAUAUCAACACAGUUGCACAAGUAAAAUGGUUCUUGUUAAUGUUUUAGCAUUCUGAAGGGAUAAAGAAGAAUAAAAUCGAUAAGUUCAAGAGUUAAGUAAUAACUGCAAUCCCGUGAUUUACAAUAUUUUGGCCAAUUUCCUUUAAAAAAAUUACAUCUUCAGAUAAAAUUUGUUUUAAUUAAGUCAAAUUUAUAUCAGAUUGAAAUAAUUUUUGCUCUGCAUCCUUUGCAGUGUUCUUGAUUCAAAUUCAGCUAUAUUUCGUUUCCAAAAAUCUUUUCCUUAUUCAAAAUAAUCUAUUUUUGGAAGGCAUGCGCGAAAUCACCAGACAUUUGAGGAACUCUCAGAACAGGGGUUUCCCUAAUUUUGGUCACACAUUACACAAAAUCUUGAGGGUGAAACCAUACAAACAGAUACUUCUAUGAAAUAAUAGGUAUAUGAAUGUGUUUACACAAUAUUAUCCAAUUACUGGUUUUAUCAGUUGAAUGAAGUGAAGUCAUAAGUCUUACAUGUCUUAGGUGCGGGGAUACACUGGACUUCACCGAACAUGGAAAUGUAACAAUUAUAAAAACAUUAUCAUGAUUAUUGUUACAUUAGACACUAAUUACCAAUGAUUACUGGAAUAAAAGGUUGGACUAAAAAAUCAAAGAACCAUGAUAACAUAUGUAUGUAACAUGUUUCAAAGGGACAAUAUACACCAUUAGUCAUGUUAGUUAAAAUGUAUAAAAGUUCUAUUGAUAUUACUUUUUUCUAUAUGUAUAUACUUAAUUAUAACAGUUCAUAGUUUGUCAAUUUUGCAUAGUACACCUAUAUGUUAUUACAGAAAAGUUAUGCCUGAAAUAACCAGUCAGGGGACUUACUGAAAUAAGUGAUUUUUAAAUCACUUAUUUGAGUAGCAAAAUUGAAGUUUUGUCACAAAUUGUGAUUUUGUAGUUUUACCAAAAUUUUAAACACAUAGGUUUUAAUAAUAUCUUUUCUUUAAUAAAAUUGGAAAAAAUUAACUUUUCUCUUCUUUUAUGUAGCAAGGUUUAUGCCUUUGAUGCUAUCAUUUAUCUGCAAAUUCUAUUUUAGUUGAAAAAAUGCUAUAAUAAUGGCUUUAGAUAAUAAACUCAUACUUUCUUAACAGAUUUUUCCCAGCAGUGGGAGUAUUUUUCCUGUAAAGUUCAAGGUUUCACCUUUCAGAUUAUGUAAUAAACUUCUUCUGUUCGCGAUAAAAAUUUCACUGUUCGGUGGUGUUGAAAUUAGUGGGGGUUAUUAAAAUAAUGAUACUUAAAGAAGUGAUUUUUGGGAAGGAAAUUGAGGUAUGAUACUUAAACAAGUGAUUUUUAUGUCAUUAUCCUAGAUUCAGUACAAGGUCAUCACCUGAAAUGACCUGGUCAUCCUAGACAACACAGAUGUUGGUUCUGAUAAGUUUAGAAACAUAAUUAGUCCCUGGAUCAUUAGUAUUCUAUAUUUAAAGCUAUAAUAAAAUUCAAUAACUUCUUCUAGUGAUUAAUUUGUACUACUUAAAUAGGUGAUUAUUAAAGAAAGACAACUCUAACUUCCAAUCUGUAUGGAAAUAAUGUUACUUAAAUCAGUGAUUUAGAAAAUCACUCAUUUAAGUAAGUCCCCUGACUGAUAACUAAAGGGUGUUAUCACAGCUUCUCUAUAUCACUUCAAAGCAUUUGCUCAGACAUAAAUGUACAUCAUGCUUAAUUAAAUUACAAUGUAGUUAAAUUUAUUGUAAGAGAUAAUGACCAGAGCAUAUGAUAUAAGGUUCUGCUCAAGUUUCUCAGUAAUUCCCAAGUGUCUUAUAUAAUAAGUUACAAAAAUGUACAUUCCUUUAAUAACUGAGCCUUGUUAUCACAGCUAAGUUUAUCCCUUAAUAGCCUCGACUCAAUAAUUUUCCAUGGCCCAUCAAAAAUGUAUUACCGGUAAUUUAAUUAAAAAAACUGUUAUCAAGACUAUGCAUUUAGUUUCUGCACAAAGUCUCAAGAGUUCCCUAGAGCCCACUAUAAAUGAAAUAAUUUUACAAAUAACAAGCAUAUGUUAUUACAGAUUUAGAAAAUUUAAAAAAAUGUUUAAAAUGAAAAUAUCUGUAAUAACACACCCAAGUUUUUUCCUGGAAUAACCCUAUAGAGUUAUAUAUCAUGUAUAUCUGACUGUUGAAGAAGUAAAUUUAAAUAUACUUAUAUAAGUAAAUUUGUAGGAUACUUAUGCAUGUAUAAAUACAAGUGAAUUUUAUUUACUUGUAUAGGUGAAAAUAAGAUUGGUUGGUUUAUGUCCCUUAGACAUUGGGAUUUUUUUACUUAUACAUGUUAUCAUGGUUAUACAUAAAUAUAAGUGAAAAAGUCAUCCUAUCUUCUUUUCAUAAAUUCUUAAUUAGGAUUUCUUUGCACUAAUAUAAUUUUUAAUUGUCUGCCCUUUGCAGAUGUCUUUCCUUAUCAUUUAAGUGUAAUUUCAUGGACAAUGGAAAUCCCAUUUGUCUGUUAUCUUCAGAACACUGGCUAUUUACAAGCCCCAAGGACAUGAAGGAGCAAUUUGUGAAGGCCUUGUGCAAAUACUUAAGAUCUUCUUGCAGCUAUAUCCACCAGAGUCUUAUUUUAUGAUGUACAUGUACAUGAUGUAGAUGUUAGCAACUAAAUUUCACUGUACAUUACAAAUUGUCUUCAACAAUAAGCAACACCCAUACUGCAUCAUGUGCAUAGUCGACUUUAAUAGACCCAAACAUGAAAAAAAAUAUAAAAAUGUGAAAAAGAAAACCAAUGGCAAGACUUAUGACAAAACAGUAACGAAACACAAAUAUCAUGAAUAUAUUAUAUAUAUAACAGACAGAAACCAACAACAACGACUGAAUUAAGGGAACCAGAUUUUGGACAGGCACAUAAUCAUGAUAAUUCGAAUUUCCUUAAUUCACAUACAUUAUUUACAUAUACAUGUAUAUGUUACACUUCAACAUUGUAUAAUUGUUCAACAUGUUCAAUUACAUUUUUAAUCUGUCUUUUAUCAAUGUUUAUUUAGUUUGUGUAGUCAGGUAGUAUGAUUUUUAAUCUUUAAUCCUUUUUUUCCUUAGAUUUCAGAAAGCAUGGAAAGUGUACUUCAUUGACUCUGUUAACUGAAUCAUUUAUCAUGUUUAUAUUUCUUCUAGAAUCAUGUCAACAUCUGAAAGUGAAAUACCAAGAAAGGGUAAACAUGGUAAAACAAACACUACAUGCACUAGUUCAUCAUCUGAAACAUCAAGGAACACGAGGAAGCGUAAACAUUGUAAAACAUACACUAGUUCAUCAUCUGAAUCUACUGAUGAUAGUACAGGUCAUCCAACUAAAAAACCCUCAACUUCAGCAUAUUCAUCAUUAGCAUGGAAAAUUGAAGAUCUUGACCAACAGUCCAUUUUCUUUGCCACUGAAUAUUUGCCAGUGGAAACUUUGAUUAGCCUUUUAAAAAAAAGACGAGAUUUAGAGGAUGUACCGAAAAUAGUCAAUACGUUAAUUGGAUUUACUAAAGAAUGCCUAAACUUUACAAUUGAUGAGACUACGUGGCAAAUGUGUGAUUUAACACCAGAACAAGAGAAAGGAAUUGAGACUCUGAUCAAUGCAAAAAAACACGUUAGAAUGUUUGCUAAUAAGAUACGAUCUGAAGAAGCACAACUUUUGGAUGAAGAACCAAUUAAUAGAGA
rnacentral:lncRNA from 1 species